UUUUUGAAGUUAAUAAAUUCUCAAGAUGAGCAUACACGUACCUGCUGCGUAUUGGUCCACAUUUUCCAACGAUGAUUUCGUUAUAUCAUCAGAGGACGAAGACAACCGUGACACUUGCAUCAUUUGCAUUAUAUCUGCUCUGUGCCAACUGAGUUUCAAUAUGGCACAACACUGAACAUAAAGGCAGCACAUUAUUCACUCCCAUAGCAUUCACAUAUAAGGUACUUUAGAUAAGCAUAAUAGGGACAUUGCGUUUGUUGAAAAGCUUGGUUUCACAUGAAUGGUUUAAAAAGUAGCAGUUAGGUAGGACAACACAUUAAUCUGCUGUAAAUGGUUUGGAAUAAUUGUGCUACAAACUGUGUCAUAAAUAUUAAAAAAGUUCCUAUUUCAAUGUACUUUUAUGCUUUGAAAAACAGGCAGUAUGAUGUAAUUCACUCAUUUACACCAUGUCAUGACCUGAACAUUUCAGUAAGGAAAGUCAACAGAUCUUUUGCUCGUCACUGAGAUAUUAUGAGUUAUGUUUAGCUAUGAGGAAUAUAUGUGUGGAAUCCCAGUGGUCCGGAUAAGAAGUGUUUCUUCCACAGUUCUUCAGGGCAUAUUUAAAAAUGUUAUGUUCAAAAAAGCCGCAAACUCUGCAAAAUUUUACAUGAAAUCUCUGGUAAUAUUGAGAGAGUUCAUGUCUUAACAUUUGUUAGGCUGUUAAACGCUUCUGGGCAGGGAGAGACGCUGUGUGUAAUGAUUUUAAUAAAAUGAAAAAACAGCCAGUGAAGGACAUAGGGAUAUAUGAAAUGUACUCCUCAGCCUGAAGUGUCCCCACUUUUCGCGUGGUGUCGACUGAUAAAACGCUUCAGGAGGGUGAUCACGUGUGCUAGCAAGACAGAGGUCCUGGAUUUGUGCCUUGGUGUCAAUUGAAUCAGGAGGAAGUGGUACUGGCUACGCAAGCAACGUGACAUCCUUUACACCAGCAUCACAGCCUUUAAAGCUGCUAUAUGUAACUUUUUGGGCGACCCAAACAAAUUCACAUAGAAAUGGAAGUUAUAGAUCUGCCAGUCUCAUUGAAAGCAAGUCUAAGAAGUGGUAGAUCUGUUCAAUGUGUGCACUAUUUCUAUGCUUCCCAGUCUUAACCUAUUUAAUCCCAUCAGUCACAAUAGUGACCGUACAAAACGUUUUCAGUUAUAAGGCUCCAUUUUCUUUACUGAAUGAUGUAUCAAUACGUUUCCAGCAAAUAUUUAAUUAAUAAAGGGUUUCAAUGAAAACGUGCAGUGUCACAUGUUUGGUGUAAAUUGUCACAUGACCAGAGCUGUUUACUUCCUGGUUGCACCAUGAGAAGAGGAUGGCUGCAUCAAAGCUCCCAAACAAAAGUUUCACUUUGAGUCAAGUUCUGGAUAUGUUGGAUCUAGGCAACCGCCCAGACAAGGCAUGCAACAUUGCAGUUAUUCCUCAAAAUGAGAAAUAUGCUGUCCUCAGUGAUUGUGAUAGCAAUGGGUCAGACAUGGACUAUGAGGGGGAGACAGGCCAUUAGCCAGCUAGACUGUUGAAUGCAUAUGCUGAACCUAUGGAAACAGAUCAUGACAGGAACAACGUUAUCAGUUAUACCCCUUACCACCCCCCUCCAUUGUUGAUAAUGAAGAGCCAAGGUCCUCUAUCCGCCAGAGGGUCCAGUCAGAAGAGCCAAGGGCAAAGCUGCAGGUGGUCAAAAAUAAAGAUCAAGUGUUCAAACACUCGAAGAGGCCUGACACCAUUGUGAUUCCAAAACACAUAGUAUACAGCCCAAAUAUACAAAAGUUUGUCACGAAACCACUGCGCCACGGAAGGAGAUCUCUAAUGGCUGCUACUGUUGAAGAUCAGGCAAGAUAUGACAAAGCUUCUUACUGGCCAAUCAACAGAAUGCAACGGUUCCAGAGAUGUCAUCAUUGUGACAAACGCACUACCUAUGCAUGUGAGAAAUGCAAAGUGCCACUGCACAUUAAGUUCUUCAAGAUAUACCAUGGACAGUAGAAAAGGAGAUAAGAGUGAAUGAAAAAGGACUGAAAAAGCCAAUAAAAGAAAAAUAGAAAAGUUAAUAAAGGGUGAGGAGAAGCAGUACAACAGACUCUAGGAAGAAAAGUCAACGAAAAAGGGAAAAAGACAAUCAAAAUGGCUGAAAUGUUUUUGGAAAAGAAGGUCAAUUGAUUCAAGACACUGUAUGACCAUAGGUCUGACUGAUCACAGUUCAAAAUAUUGAUGAACAAACUAAUCGUGCACUUAGUUCUGAAGCCUACCUCUAUGAUAUAUAUAUAUAUAUAUAUAUAUAUAUAUAUGUGUAUAUGUGUGUAUGCAUGUACUGUAUGUGUAUAUAUAUAUAUUAUAUAUUUUUUUCACUGCAGGCCUCUACUUGAAUGCAUAUUCAAAAGUAAAAAAUAAAAUGUAACACAAUAAAAUAACAAUAGCGAGGCUA